rnacentral:rRNA from 1 species
UACGUAGGGGGCAAGCGUUUGUCCGGAUUUAUUGGGCGUAAAGAGCGUGUAGGCGGCUUGGCAAGUCCGCUGUGAAAACUCGAGGCUCAACCUCGAGACGUCGGUGGAAACUGCUUGGCUAGAGUCCGGAAGAGGAGAGUGGAAUUCCUGGUGUAGCGGUGAAAUGCGCAGAUAUCAGGAGGAACACCGGUGGCGAAGGCGGGUCUCUGGGCCGAUACUGACGCUGAGGAGCGAAAGCGUGGGGAGCGAACAGG